GACGAACGCUGGCGGCGUGCCUAAUACAUGCAAGUCGAACGAGAGCGACCGGUGCUUGCACUGGUCAAUCUAGUGGCGAACGGGUGAGUAACACGUGGGUAACCUGCCCAUCAGAGGGGGAUAACAUCCGGAAACGGAUGCUAAAACCGCAUAGGUCUUCGAGCCGCAUGGCUUGAAGAGGAAAAGAGGCGCAAGCUUCUGCUGAUGGAGGGACCCGCGGUGCAUUAGCUAGUUGGUGAGGUAACGGCUCACCAAGGCCGUGAUGCAUAGCCGACCUAAGAGGGUGAUCGGCCACAUUGGGACUGAGACACGGCCCAAACUCCUACGGGAGGCAGCAGUAGGGAAUCUUCCGCAAUGGGCGCAAGUCUGACGGAGCAACGCCGCGUGAGUGAAGAAGGUUUUCGGAUCGUAAAACUCUGUUGUUAGAGAAGAACAAGUGCUAGAGUAACUGUUAGCGCCUUGACGGUAUCUAACCAGAAAGCCACGGCUAACUACGUG
rnacentral:rRNA from 1 species